CAUCAGGUGGGAUUACCCGCUGAACUUAAGCAUAUCAAUAAGCGGAGGAAAAGAAACUAACAAGGAUUCCCCUAGUAACGGCGAGUGAAGAGGGAAAAGCCCAAAUUUGUAAUCUGGCUCUUUUAGAGUCCGAGUUGUAAUUUUGAGAACUGUUUUCAGUGCUGGACCAUGUUUAAGUCUGUUGAAAAACAGCAUCAUUGAGGGUGAUAAUCCCGUUCAUGAUAUGGACUACCAGUACUUUAUGAUACAGUCUCUAAGAGUCGAGUUGUUUGGGAAUGCAGCUCAAAGUGGGUGGUAAAUUCCAUCUAAGGCUAAAUAUAGGUGAGAGACCGAUAGCAAACAAGUACCGUGAGGGAAAGAUGAAAAGAACUUUGGAAAGAGAGUUAACAGUACGUGAAAUUGCUGAAAGGGAAACAAUUGAAGUUAGCCUUGUUAUUGUCAGUUCAGCUCUUUUAGAGUGUAUUCUGAUGAUUAACGACCAACAUCAGUCUUUGAGUGCUGGAUAAGGGUUUUGGAAAUGUAGCAGUCUCGGCUGUGUUAUAGUCCAUUACUUUGAUACAGUGCUUGGGAUUGAGGAUCGCAGUAAGCCAUUUUAUGGUGGACCAAAUUUUUGGUCUUCUUACUGAGGAUGUUGGUGAAAUAGCUUA
rnacentral:rRNA from 1 species